GGAGCUGUAGUUCAAUUGGUAGAACGACGGAUUCCAAAUCCGUCGGUCGCAGGUUCGAUUCCUGUCAGCUUCA
rnacentral:tRNA from 19 species